CGAAGGUGCAUCCGAUGUUGAGGGUUCGUAUUAAGUUCGUAUCACCAUCCUCACCAUCGUAAUGUCACCGGGAAUGCAUCUUUGAACAUCGUAUUGCAUUCGUGUUUCCAUCGUUUCCAUCGGGCAGUUUUGACAUUACGAUGUCUACACGAAUGAAUCACGAAGCUACCCGAAGGUCUUACGAUGGCAACACGACUUCGCGAAGACCUCGUAAUCCCGUCGUGUUGCCAUCGAAUAAAAGUACGAAGGCGACAAGAUGGAACUACG
rnacentral:lncRNA from 1 species